AGCGCACUGCUCAGUAACACGUGGACAACCUGCCCUGAGGACUGGAAUAAUCCCGGGAAACUGGGGGUAAUUCCAGAUAUGUCAGAACUCCUGGAAUGGGUUCUGGCAGAAAGGCUCCGGCGCCUCAGGAUGGGUCUGCGGCCUAUCAGGGUAGUAGUGGGUGUAACGUACCUACUAGCCUACGACGGGUACGGGUUGUGAGAGCAAGAGCCCGGAGAUGGAUUCUGAGACAUGAAUCCAGGCCCUACGGGGUGCAGCAGGCGCGAAAACUUUACAAUGCGGGCAACCGCGAUAAGGGGACCUCGAGUGCUGGGUUACAAACCUGGCUGUUGGGCUGCCUAAAAAGCAGUCUAUAGCAAGGGCCGGGCAAGACCGGUGCCAGCCGCCGCGGUAACACCGGCGGCUCGAGUGGUAACCGCUAUUAUUGGGUCUAAAGGGUCUGUAGCCGGCCGACUAAGUCUCUUGGGAAAUCUGGCAUCUCAAGUGUCAGGCUGCCAGGGGAUACUGGUCGGCUUGGGACCGGGAGAGGUGAGAGGUACCUCGGGGGUAGGGGUGAAAUCUUGUAAUCCUCGAGGGACCACCAGUGGCGAAGGCGUCUCA
rnacentral:rRNA from 1 species